AAAUUCAAAGCAUUUCACAAACCUUGAAAAAUGGUACAAUAAAAUUGUAAACAACACAAAUUUCUUCUUAUAAGUGUGUAAAAACUAAAUUUAUAUUUUCCAAAAUUUAAGGCAGCUAUCACAAUUUUGUAAUGGGCGAUGGCGGCUACAAUCCUUAUGAUAACCGCAAUGUGGAGAAGCCACUAUCAAAUUGUGAAGCUUUCAUGACAUUACUCAAGUGCGUUAUUGGCACUGGCAUUUUAUCCAUGCCCCUGGCCUUUAAGUAUUGUGGCACUGUUGGUGGCGUAGUAAUGACAAUUCUCUGUACUGCCGUAAUCAUUUAUGGAAUGCAACUACUGAUAAAGUGUAUGGUUGAAUCCAGCCGUCGCAAUGAGGUGGGCUAUAUGAAUUUCCCAGAAACAAUGGUGUUUUCCUUUAGUGUGGGCCCAAAGUGCUGUCGUUACAUAUCCAAAGGAGUCGGCGGUUUGGUGGAUAUUAUUUUGUGUAUCGCGCACUAUGGUUUUAACGUAGUGUAUCACGUAUUCGUUGCCAUACAUUUCAAGGAACUUUCAGACCUUUAUAUAACUAGCUCCGAUUUAAGAGUUGUUUGUGCUAUAGUUGGGCUUUUGUGCUUGCCCCUGUUUCUUGUGCGUCAGCUGAAGUAUCUUGUGCCCUUCUCGAUAAUUGCAAAUGUAUUGAUAUACUUAAGCCUCUGCGCCAUUUGCUAUUAUAUGAUUAGAGGCUUGCCCAACCUUGGUGAAAAGCGUAUGCUGCCCUUAAAUGCUUUAGAUGUCCCCAUAUUCGUGGGAAUCGUUAUGUUUGCCACGUCGUCUGUCGGUGUGAUGCUGGCUGUUGAGGCAAAAAUGGCUAAGCCUGCCCUAUACUUAGGUUGUCACGGUAUUUUGAGCUUGUGUGCUCUUGUCGUUUGCAUCACGAAUAUGAUUUUCGGAUUUCUUGGCUACUGGCGUUAUGGUGAUAAAAUAGCCGCUAGUGUUACCAUUAAUCUGCCCGCUCAGGAAAUCGUCGCGCAGCUUACUAAGUUGGGCAUUGCAAUUGCUGUCUAUUUUACCUAUCCUCUGAGUGGCUAUGUUCCCAUAGAGAUCAUCAUAAACCAUUAUCUGAAUAAAAAUAACCAACUGAAGCAUCCCCAUAUGAUUGAAUACAUACUCCGCAUUGCUUUCGUAAUUUUAGUUACAUUGAAUGCCAUUGCUUUUCCGAAUUUGGGUCCUCUCGUGGCGUUGGUUGGCGCUUUCUCUAUAUCCCUACUAAAUCUAAUAUUCCCAUGCUGUAUAGAAAUCUGCCUUUUAUAUAACGAUUCGUAUGGGAGACUUAUGUGGAAAUUAUUAAAAAACAUACUAAUGAUCAUAUUUGGGACUUUUGUCCUUUGUUAUGGCAGCUAUGGUGCCAUUAGGGAUAUGAUUCAACAUUAUAGUUUCAAAUGAGAAGCGAAAACAAAAACUGAUCCCGCCAGAUUAUCAUUUCGUCGGAUGGACAGUGUAUAUGUGGUGUUAAUGGGCACGAAUAUUAAGAAACUGGAAGCUUAUCAUCUGUUUUCAAUCGAGGAGAUCCUUGGGAAAGUUUGGUGUGCUGAAUCGGGCCAUGAUAUUUUUGCCUUUUUAGGCUAUUAACAGUUCGGUGAUGAGACGUCUAGUUUUAUAAUCGACAAUCUACCCACCGAUGAGACGUACGUGCCACUACUCCAAACAGUACAUUAUCGUUUCAUGUCAAUUUUUCAACAGCGUGCCACAAUAGCCACAUGUUUUAGCUAUAAUAUGACAAUCGUAUCUUCUCUUUUUUUUUAAGCUUUUCACAGAACGAUAUAAAAUGUAAU